GCCCAUGAUGGAUAGCUCAGGCGAUAGAGCAUGAGAUCCUUAAUUUCAGAGUCAUGGGUUUGAGCGCCAUACUGGGCA